rnacentral:snoRNA from 2 species
CCCCCCUCAGCGUCACACCUGGAGAGUUUCUAGUACUCUACCAGUCUCAGCUAUGAGAGGAAGAGUCAAGCAGAGACAUACCCAUUCCAUUCCCAGCUUGGCCAGUGGCUAGCGAGUGGAAGGCAACCUGCUACAAGU